rnacentral:lncRNA from 1 species
CUAAGAACAACAACAAAAAAUCCAGUAGAGCCCCAGGAGGAAAGGAAUUUGGCUUUUUAGCUGAGUAGUGAAAAGGCAAGCUGGCAAUUGCCCUUUGGCUCUGCCAGGGAAGGUCAGAGAAAGGCCUCCCCAGUGAUGGAGAGGGGAAGGAAGUGAGGGGGAGAAAAAACAGUGGAGAGAUAAACAAGCCUUGGCUGGAAGGAGGAGAGAGAAGCCCCCUCUGAAGGUUUCCCUAGGAUCACCAGCUGUCAUGGACUGAUUUGUGUCUCUCCAAAUUCAUAUGUUGAAUACUUAACCUGCCAUGCGAUUGUGAUUGGAGAUAAUUCCUUUAGGGAAGCAAUGAAGGUUAAAUGAGGUCAUAGGUGGGAGCUUAAUCCAAUGGGACUGGGGUCCCUACAAGAAGAGGAAGACACCAGAGCUCUCUGUCUCCACACACAGAGAAAAGAGGCUGUAUGAGGACACAAGAGAAGGUAAUAGCUGUCUACAAACCAAGAAGAGAAGCCUCUCCAGAAAAUGAACCCUGCUGGAACUUGGUCUUGGACUUUCCAGCCUCCAGAACUGGGAGAAAAUAAAGUUCAAAAUAAAGUUCUGUUGUGUA